CCUACGGGAGGCAGCAGUGAGGAAUAUUGGUCAAUGGACGCAAGUCUGAACCAGCCAUGCCGCGUGCAGGAAGACGGCUCUAUGAGUUGUAAACUGCUUUUGUACGAGGGUAAACGCAGAUACGCGUAUCUGUCUGACAGUAUCGUACGAAUAAGGAUCGGCUAACUCCGUGCCAGCAGCCGCGGUAAUACGGAGGAUUCAAGCGUUAUCCGGAUUUAUUGGGUUUAAUGGGUGCGUAGGCGGUCGGAUAAGUUAGAGGUGAAAUCCCGGGGCUCAACUUCGGAAUUGCCUCUGAUACUGUGCGGCUAGAGAGUAGUUGCGGUAGGCGGAAUGUAUGGUGUAGCGGUGAAAUGCUUAGAGAUCAGACAGAACACCGAUUGCGAAGGCAGCUUACCAAGCUACUUCUGACGUUGAGGCACGAAAGCGUGGGGAGCAAACAGGAGUAGAUACCCUUGUAGUC
rnacentral:rRNA from 1 species